rnacentral:rRNA from 1 species
GAUGAACGCUAGCGGCAGGCCUAAUACAUGCAAGUCGAACGGUGUAGCAAUACAUAGUGGCGCACGGGUGCGUAACACGUAUGCAACCUACCUUAUACUGGGGGAUAGCCUUUGGAAACGGAGAUUAAUACCCCAUAGUACAUUUAGAUGGCAUCAUUUGAAUGUUAAAGAUUUAUCGGUAUAAGCUGGGCAUGCGUCCAAUUAGUUAGUUGGUGAGGUAACGGCUCACCAAGACUUUGAUUGGUAGGGGAACUGAGAGGUUAAUCCCCCACCCUGGCACUAAGAUACUGGCCAGACUCCUACGGGAGGCAGCAGUAGGGAAUAUUGGGCAAUGGAGGCAACUCUGACCCAGACAUGCCGCGUGCAGGAAGAAGGCGUUAUGCGUUGCAAACUUCUUUUAUAUAGGAAGAAAUAGUCCUUGCGAGGAAAGUUGACGGUACUAUAUGAAUAAGCACCGGCUAACUCCGUGCCAGCCGCCGCCGUAA